UGCAGUCGAGCGGAACGAGUUAUCUGAACCUUCGGGGAACGAUAACGGCGUCGAGCGGCGGACGGGUGAGUAAUGCCUAGGAAAUUGCCCUGAUGUGGGGGAUAACCAUUGGAAACGAUGGCUAAUACCGCAUAAUGCCUACGGGCCAAAGAGGGGGACCUUCGGGCCUCUCGCGUCAGGAUAUGCCUAGGUGGGAUUAGCUAGUUGGUGAGGUAAUGGCUCACCAAGGCGACGAUCCCUAGCUGGUCUGAGAGGAUGAUCAGCCACACUGGAACUGAGACACGGUCCAGACUCCUACGGGAGGCAGCAGUGGGGAAUAUUGCACAAUGGGCGCAAGCCUGAUGCAGCCAUGCCGCGUGUGUGAAGAAGGCCUUCGGGUUGUAAAGCACUUUCAGUCGUGAGGAAGGUAGUGUAGUUAAUAGCUGCAUUAUUUGACGUUAGCGACAGAAGAAGCACCGGCUAACUCCGUGCCAGCAGCCGCGGUAAUACGGAGGGUGCGAGCGUUAAUCGGAAUUACUGGGCGUAAAGCGCAUGCAGGUGGUUUGUUAAGUCAGAUGUGAAAGCCCGGGGCUCAACCUCGGAAUUGCAUUUGAAACUGGCAGACUAGAGUACUGUAGAGGGGGGUAGAAUUUCAGGUGUAGCGGUGAAAUGCGUAGAGAUCUGAAGGAAUACCGGUGGCGAAGGCGGCCCCCUGGACAGAUACUGACACUCAGAUGCGAAAGCGUGGGGAGCAAACAGGAUUAGAUACCCUGGUAGUCCACGCCGUAAACGAUGUCUACUUGGANGUUGUGGCCUUGAGCCGUGGCUUUCGGAGCUAACGCGUUAAGUAGACCGCCUGGGGAGUACGGUCGCAAGAUUAAAACUCAAAUGAAUUGACGGGGGCCCGCACAAGCGGUGGAGCAUGUGGUUUAAUUCGAUGCA
rnacentral:rRNA from 1 species